UACAGAGGUCUCAAGCGUUGUUCGGAUUCAUUGGGCGUAAAGGGUGCGUAGGUGGCGGGGUUAGUCAGGUGUGAAAUCUCGGAGCUCAACUCCGAAACUGCACUUGAUACUGCCUUGCUUGAGUACUGGAGAGGAGAUUGGAAUUUACGGUGUAGCAGUGAAAUGCGUAGAUAUCGUAAGGAAGACCAGUGGCGAAGGCGAAUCUCUGGACAGUUACUGACACUGAGGCACGAAGGCCAGGGGAGCAAACGGGG
rnacentral:rRNA from 1 species